rnacentral:rRNA from 1 species
UGUGUUAGUGGAAGCGUCUGGAAAGGCGCGCGAUACAGGGUGACAGCCCCGUACACAAAAGCGCAUGUGCUGUGAGCUCGAUGAGUAGGGCGGGACACGUGGUAUCCUGUCUGAAUAUGGGGGGACCAUCCUCCAAGGCUAAAUACUCCUGACUGACCGAUAGUGAACCAGUACCGUGAGGGAAAGGCGAAAAGAACCCCGGCGAGGGGAGUGAAAAAGAACCUGAAACCGUGUACGUACAAGCAGUGGGAGCCCCACCACUAAGCCAGUGGUGAACUCCACAUACGCAUCCUUUGCUGAGGAGACGGUUAACGGAGCGAAAGCGACGUUCAACCUCAAAACAAGCAGAGGGGGCUUAGUGGUGGGGUGACUGCGUACCUUUUGUAUAAUGGGUCAGCGACUUAUAUUCUGUAGCAAGGUUAACCGAAUAGGGGAGCCGGAGGGAAACCGAGUCUUAAUUGGGCGUUAAGUUGCAGGGUAUAGACCCGAAACCCGGUGAUCUAGCCAUGGGCAGGUUGAAGGUUGGGUAACACUAACUGGAGGACCGAACCGACUAAUGUUGAAAAAUUAGCGGAUGACCUGUGGCUGGGGGUGAAAGGCCAAUCAAACCGGGAGAUAGCUGGUUCUCCCCGAAAGCUAUUUAGGUAGCGCCUCGUGAAUUCAUCUCCGGGGGUAGAGCACUGUUUCGGCUAGGGGGCCAUCCCGGCUUACCAACCCGAUGCAAACUGCGAAUACCGGAGAAUGUUAUCACGGGAGACACACGGCGGGUGCUAACGUCCGUCGUGAAGAGGGAAACAACCCAGACCGCCAGCUAAGGUCCCAAAGUCAUGGUUAAGUGGGAAACGAUGUGGGAAGGCCCAGACAGCCAGGAUGUUGGCUUAGAAGCAGCCAUCAUUUAAAGAAAGCGUAAUAGCUCACUGGUCGAGUCGGCCUGCGCGGAAGAUGUAACGGGGCUAAACCAUGCACCGAAGCUGCGGCAGCGACACUCAGGUGUUGUUGGGUAGGGGAGCGUUCUGUAAGCCUGUGAAGGUGGCCUGUGAGGGUUGCUGGAGGUAUCAGAAGUGCGAAUGCUGACAUAAGUAACGAUAAAGCGGGUGAAAAGCCCGCUCGCCGGAAGACCAAGGGUUCCUGUCCAACGUUAAUCGGGGCAGGGUGAGUCGACCCCUAAGGCGAGGCCGAAAGGCGUAGUCGAUGGGAAACGGGUUAAUAUUCCCGUACUUGGUGUUACUGCGAAGGGGGGACGGAGAAGGCUAUGUUGGCCGGGCGACGGUUGUCCCGGUUUAAGCGUGUAGGUGUGUGUUCCAGGUAAAUCCGGUUCACUUUAACACUGAGGCGUGAUGACGAGGCACUACGGUGCUGAAGCAACAAAUGCCCUGCUUCCAGGAAAAGCCUCUAAGCAUCAGGUAACAUCAAAUCGUACCCCAAACCGACACAGGUGGUCAGGUAGAGAAUACCAAGGCGCUUGAGAGAACUCGGGUGAAGGAACUAGGCAAAAUGGUGCCGUAACUUCGGGAGAAGGCACGCUGACACGUAGGUGAAGUGAUUUACUCAUGGAGCUGAAGUCAGUCGAAGAUACCAGCUGGCUGCAACUGUUUAUUAAAAACACAGCACUGUGCAAACACGAAAGUGGACGUAUACGGUGUGACGCCUGCCCGGUGCCGGAAGGUUAAUUGAUGGGGUCAGCGCAAGCGAAGCUCCUGAUCGAAGCCCCGGUAAACGGCGGCCGUAACUAUAACGGUCCUAAGGUAGCGAAAUUCCUUGUCGGGUAAGUUCCGACCUGCACGAAUGGCGUAAUGAUGGCCAGGCUGUCUCCACCCGAGACUCAGUGAAAUUGAACUCGCUGUGAAGAUGCAGUGUACCCGCGGCAAGACGGAAAGACCCCGUGAACCUUUACUAUAGCUUGACACUGAACAUUGAGCCUUGAUGUGUAGGAUAGGUGGGAGGCUUUGAAGUGUGGACGCCAGUCUGCAUGGAGCCGACCUUGAAAUACCACCCUUUAAUGUUUGAUGUUCUAACGUGGACCCGUAAUCCGGGUUGCGGACAGUGUCUGGUGGGUAGUUUGACUGGGGCGGUCUCCUCCUAAAGAGUAACGGAGGAGCACGAAGGUUGGCUAAUCCUGGUCGGACAUCAGGAGGUUAGUGCAAUGGCAUAAGCCAGCUUGACUGCGAGCGUGACGGCGCGAGCAGGUGCGAAAGCAGGUCAUAGUGAUCCGGUGGUUCUGAAUGGAAGGGCCAUCGCUCAACGGAUAAAAGGUACUCCGGGGAUAACAGGCUGAUACCGCCCAAGAGUUCAUAUCGACGGCGGUGUUUGGCACCUCGAUGUCGGCUCAUCACAUCCUGGGGCUGAAGUAGGUCCCAAGGGUAUGGCUGUUCGCCAUUUAAAGUGGUACGCGAGCUGGGUUUAGAACGUCGUGAGACAGUUCGGUCCCUAUCUGCCGUGGGCGCUGGAGAACUGAGGGGGGCUGCUCCUAGUACGAGAGGACCGGAGUGGACGCAUCACUGGUGUUCGGGUUGUCAUGCCAAUGGCACUGCCCGGUAGCUAAAUGCGGAAGAGAUAAGUGCUGAAAGCAUCUAAGCACGAAACUUGCCCCGA